AAUACAUAUAUACAUAUAUACCUACCUACAUACAUACAUAUAAAAAAGGAGUAGUUACGAAGACAUAUAAUGAUGUUUGACUCGACUUUUAAAUAUAUUUAAGGACUGUGACAUCCUGAUGUCAUGUGGGAGCGCAUUCCAUAAUUUAAUCGAUUUGACAGUAAAGAAAUCAUUAUAACAGUGUGAGUGGCUAAGAGGCAGCUGUAGUUUGUUGUCCGAUAGAGAACGAAGAUUGAGAUGAAGAGAAGAAUUAGAGCCAAGAAAGGAAAAGCGUUCUUUGAGGUAAGUUGGAGUUUGGGGAAAGAAAAUAAUAGUGUAAAGGAGAGAAAGGGAGUAAACUAUAAUAUUACAAGUGAAUAACAGUGUACCUAAAUAAAGAGUUAUAAAUAGCUACCUACAAAGA